AAAGGUACUUUGUUCCAGGCGAGGGGUGGAGAUCAAUCGCAGCUUGUUUGCCAUGAGCAACGUCAAUCCAUAUUGCUCGUUGCAUUCUCACCGCUGGGCUCUCUCCACUCGAAUCCAUGGAGGAGGUUGGCGAGCGUGAGAUGGACAGUGGUGAGUGCCAGUGCCAUUCCCGGGCAUUGUCGCCGCCCCGAUCCAAACGGCACUGCCUCGAAGUCCCUGCCCCGGAUGUCCAGAUCCGUGCCAAGGAAUCUCUCGGGCCGGAAGAGCAGCGCAUCGUCACCCCAGGCGGAAGAGUCUCUGGCGAUGGCAUAGGCGUUGAUGAGCACCGUCGAAGAAGAGGGGCAACAAAGGCGCCAGUCCCGGAAUCCAGCUCGGAUCAGGCGCAAGGUGUGGCGAUGGCGGGAGAGGAGGAGGAGGAGGCGGUGAGCAAGGUAGUGGAAUGGCCAGAGGAUGGAGGAUUGACGCGAGACCCUGGCGGAGGCGGCCUCCAUGCUGAGGACGCAAGCACUGCGCCAGGUAGUGCCAGUCGCGGUCGCCGAUUCACUCAUUGCCAGGGCUUCCAAGAUCAUGCAGAGACAGUCACAAACCAGGUGCCAAACUCUAAAACUGAUCUCCACUUGUUCUCAGAUACCAAGCUUCUCCAAUACUGGCACAUCCUCAUCUCUGCUUGUGUUGUGGCUUGCAACUGGCUGUAGUCUGAAAUGCUGGUGUAGAGAUAACUCAGCUUCUUUUUACACUCAGGUGUGCAUUGCCAUGCCUCCAACGCCGUCGUAAACUCUAUCAUCUCAGCUUGGGGGAAGAAAGCCUUGGGAGGGCGUAGCUCUGGGAGAGGUUUCACUUCCAUAUCUUGCCUGUUCAGCCGCCGCUCCAGCACGCUUCCCUUUUGCAAUCUAUUUCCUACCAACUUUCUAAUCUCAUGCUUGGAUAUCCCCUCCCAGGAACCAUACGCCAACACAUCCAGCGACUGUUGGAUUUGGAUGGAAUCCCCCUUGUUCUUCUUCAGUUCCUCCAAAGCUUUCGCAGCCAUCAUCAGAUCUGUGGAGCAUGUUCUAUUUUUAUAGCUUGGAUCGUUAAAAGGUACUUUGUUCCAGGCGAGGGGUGGAGAUCAAUCGCAGCUUGUUUGCCAUGAGCAACGUCAAUCCAUAUUGCUCGUUGCUCGUGUCGAUACUCUCACCGCUGGGCUCUCUCCACUCGAAUCCAUGGAGGAGGUUGGCGAGCGUGAGAUGGACAGUGGUGAGUGCCAGUGCCAUUCCCGGGCAUUGUCGCCGCCCCGAUCCAAACGGCACUGCCUCGAAGUCCCUGCCCCGGAUGUCCAGAUCCGUGCCAAGGAAUCUCUCGGGCCGGAAGAGCAGCGCAUCGUCACCCCAGGCGGAAGAGUCUCUGGCGAUGGCAUAGGCGUUGAUGAGCACCGUCGAAGAAGAGGGACAACAAAGGCGCCAGUCCCGGAAUCCAGCUCGGAUCAGGCGCAAGGAGUGGCGAUGGCGGCAGAGGAGGAGGUGGUGAGCAAGGUAGUGGAAUGGCCAGAGGAUGGAGGAUUGACGCGAGAAUGGGUAAUCGGCGUGGGCGAGACCCUGGCGGAGGCGGCCUCCAUGCUGAGGACGCAAGCACUGCGCCAGGUAGUGCCAGUCGCGGUCGCCGAUUCGCUCAUCGCCAGGGCUUCCAAGAUCAUGCACAAGGAGCCCAAUUGCUUGCGCCUGGAGCCGCCACGGUCGAGCUCCAGUAGCAUCGUCCUGGUGGGCGAUUUGCACGGCCAGCUCCAUGAUUUGCUCCAUCUCUUUGAUCUGGCCGGCCUCCCCGACGAGGAACGAAUGUUUGUGUUUAACGGGGACUAUGUGGAUCGAGGAGUGUGGGGAUUCGAGACUUACUUUCUCCUCCUUGCUUGGAAGGUAUGAUCUCAGAAUCACGUUUUCUUUUUUACUUCUUUCUGGUGGUAGUGAAAGGUGGUAUUGUUCUUACUUUUUUUCUUCAGGUAUUGCUACCUCACCGAGUUUUUCUUCUGCGAGGAAACCACGAGACAAAGUUCUGUACGAGCGUCUACGGCUUCGAGAAAGAGAUCUCCGUCAAGUUUGGGGAGCAUUCCAAGCAUUUCUACCGCAAGCUCUUGGGAUGCUUCGAGGGCCAUCCUCUGGUGGCGGUGAUAGCCGGCAAAGUUUUCAUGGCACACGGUGCCUUGUUCCGGAGCUUGGAACCGGGGCCUUCUACGCGAUCUUUCUUGGUGAGAGCUGCUGCUAAGCUCAAGCUGGGUGAUCUGGACGACCUUGCAAAGUCGAGAAGAGGCGUGCUGGAUCCGUCGGCCGUGGGAAACAACGUGAUACCGGGUGAUAUCUUGUGGUCCGACCCAUCUCCAAACCCGGGGCUUGCGAGCAACGAAGGGCUUGUUUUUGGACCGGAUUGUACUCAAGAGUUUAUGGACAAGCACAAGCUAAAGGUAAGGUGGUGUUUUGCGUCGUUUGCUCACGAUCAUUGGGAUUGUUCGGCAGUGCAGCUUAUAGUGAGAUCUCACGAGGGGCCGGAUGCGAGACAGAAGCGUCCUGAGAUGGCGAGCAUGGACAAAGGCUACACGAUCGACCACGUUGUCAAGGCUGGAAAGCUCAUCACUCUGUUCAGUGCUCCCGACUAUCCUCAGUUUCAGGUUGGCCUUCUUCAUUUCGUGUUUUCUUUCUUCGUAAAUGCAACAAAGUUUCGAUUGUCAACAAUGGCAGGCGACCGAAACUCGUUUUAACAACAAAGCAGCCUACAUUGUUUUGGAACCACCGGAUUUUUGCGAGCCCGACAUUUGUGUUUUUGAGGCGGUCCUCCCGCAGCCACAUGUAAGCAAUUUCAUUUUGAUACUUCCAUCCACCGCUUUGGUUGCUUUUCCGCAGGUUAUGCCAUAUUACGAUCAUGUUAAUGUUAUGGAUUCAGACGACGAGCUAGAUCUGCCAAAAGACGGAUAAAAAAAAUCUAGAAAAAUGCCACGACUGCCACCUUUGAGGUCCUCGUGGGCGUUGGUCGUAGGAGUCAAGAUCAUUCGUGACAAUAUAUUUCGGAGUGAGAGCUGCAAGAGAGCUGCGACAAGGAGAAAAUGGCGAGUGAUUUUGUUUUGGUUGUGGCGGCAGCACUAUCGAUCACUGCUGUGCUAUGGAAGCUAUGGAAGAGUAGAAUUAAAUCGUCUCUUCUUCCUCCAGGUCCCAUUGGGCUUCCACUGAUCGGCCAUCUCCACUUGCUCUUUGCAAAUCCUCCGCACACCGUGCUCCAGAGGCUGUCGGCUCGUCAUGGACCGAUCAUGUCGCUGCGAUUCGGGCAUGUGCCAGUGGUUGUCGCCUCCAGCCCAGCAGCCGCCAAGGAGUUCCUCAAGACCCACGACGCCGCCUUUGCGUCUCGCCCGCUGAGCGCCGCCGGGAGGAUCAUCGUCCACUACAACGCCGACAUCGUUUUCGCCCCUUAUGGCGACUCGUGGCGGCACUUGCGCAAGAUCGCGACGCUGGAACUCCUCACAGCUCGCCGGAUUGACAUGUUUCGGAGUGCGAGAAUGGAAGAAGUAAGAUCCAUGUGCCGAUCGCUACUAGUAGCAGAUGAUCGUGAGACGGGGAUUGUGGAUGUUCGUGGGCGAGUGACAGCGCUCACCUUCAAUCUCAUCACUUUCAUGCUCAUGGGCAAGAUCUCAUCACUUUCAUGCUCAUGGGCAAGCGUUAGUUUGGCAAGGACACUGAAAAUGAGGAGGGGGCGAAAAAUUUUUUGGAAGUGAUUGCGGGCACGUUUGAAGUAUGUGGAGAGUUUCCAAUCGAGGAUUACUUCCCGUGGCUCCCCAAGUUUUUGGAUCCGGCAGAACAUCGUAUGCAUUCCCUAGCUAAAUCCUUGCACGAGUUCCUCGGGGACAACAUCUCCGAGCACGAGAACAAGAGAAAGAACAACAAGAAGAAUAACACUGACGAGGAUUUCUUAGACAUCCUCCUCUCUCUGAGAGACAAUGGUGACAAGCAUCUACAAAACGAAAACAUCAGAAGUGUCAUGACAGUAAGAAGAAGAGUUUAUCAAUUCGAUCAAUCAGUCUCAUCACUUGCAAUCUUUUUCUUGGCAGAACUUGGUCACGGCCGGAACCGACACCUCAGCAGUGACGCUCGAGUGGGCGAUGGCCGAGUCAAUCAAAAACCCCACCAUCGCCGCCAAAGCCCGAGAAGAAAUCGAGCUAGUUCUCGGUGAGAAGUGGAGGACGAAGAUGGUGGAAGAGCCUGAUCUUUCACAGCUAACUUAUCUCCAAGCCAUCGUCAAGGAGACACUCCGGCUGCAUCCUGCGGGACCGCUGCUGGUCCCCCACCAAUCCACCGAGGCGGUUAGCAAUGUAAUGGGGUACCAUGUACCACGCGGCACGACGGUGCUCAUCAAUGCCUACGCCAUCGCCAGAGACUCUACCGCCUGGGGUGACGACGCGCUGCUCUUCCGGCCCGAGAGAUUCCUUGGCACGGAUCUGGACAUCCGGGGCAGGGACUUCGAGGCUGUCCCGUUUGGAUCGGGGCGGCGACAAUGCCCGGGAAUGGCACUGGCGCUCACCACUGUCCAUCUCACGCUUGCCAACCUCCUCCAUGGAUUCGAGUGGAGAGAGCCCAGCGGUGAGAGCAUCGACACGAGCAAGGAGCAGUAUGGAUUGACGCUGCUCUUGGCAAAGAAGCUGCGACUGAUCGCCACCCCACGGCUAGAACAAGGUACCUUAUAGCUCCGAUCGAAAGAAAGCUUGGAAGAAUAGCUUCCAUGAAUAAGAAAGAAACCACGAACUUUUGGCACAAUUUGUAAGUAUUAAAUAUUCUGAAGAAAUUGUUGAAAACUUGGAAAAGAAUAGACUAAGAGUUAAUUUGAUUUCCAAGUGUGAUUGAAGCUCUUGUUAAUGUUCAGCUUAUCAGCGGCUUGACAACAUCUACGUUAGUGCUUGCAACGUGCAUAGCUAGUAAGGGGUUGGCAGAAUCUGCAUUCUUGUUCUUCCUUGCAGCCCGCAUAGAUUGGAGCAAGGGAUUGGACAAGUUGCACUCCAAUGACAAGAAGUCCAAAAGCUUAUCUUCAUCUUCGCUUAGAAGCGUUGUGGUGCUCUCCAACAACAGCUUCCAGCAGGUGUCCACAUUUCUGAGCUCGACUCCGUGAAGCAGUAACGCACAAGCCCCAAUGAAUUUGAUCCGUGCACCACAUUCUUGCACCAAGCUUCCCCCGACCAUAAGCCUGAGAAACAUCUCCAAGAAGCAGACAAGGCAGUCUGGCGGUCAUGCACACGCAUCGUGAAGCUCCUUGAAUAUUCUAUCAGCAUCACUAGCCAGUUCAAAUGGAAUGUUCUUGAAGCCCCGGAGCGAGACGGUCAUAAACCAGCAAACUCUAAAACUGAUCUCCACUUUCUCUCAGAUACCAAGCUUCUCCAAUGCUGGCGCAUCCUCAUCUCCGCUUGCAACUGGCCGUAGUCUGAAAUGCUGGUGUAGAGAUAACUCAGCUUCUUUUUACACUCAGGUGUGCAUUGCCAUGCCUCCAAUGCUGUCGUAAACUCUAUCAUCUCAGCUUGGGGGAAGAAAGCCUUGGGGAGGGCAUAGCUCUGGGAGAGGCUUCAAUUCCAUAUCUUGCCUGUUCAGCCGCUGCUCCAGCACACUUCCCUUUUGCAAUCUACUUUCUAAUCAGGAGCCAUACGCCAACACAUCGAUUUGGAUGGAAUCCCCCUUUGUCUCCAAAGCUUUUUUAGCCAUCAUCAGAUCUGAUCCUUUAGGGUUUGGAGCAUGUUUUAUUUUUAUAGCUGACUGCUUAAUCGUUAAAAGGUACUUUGUUCCAGGCGAGGGGUGGAGAUCAAUCGCAGCUUGUUUGCCAUGAGCAACGUCAAUCCAUACUGCUCCUUGCUCGUGUCGAUGCUCUCACCGCUGGGUUCUCUCCACUCGAAUCCAUGGAGGAGGUUGGCAAGCGUGAGAUGGACAGUGGUGAGCGCCAGUGCCAUUCCCGGGCAUUGUCGCCGCCCUGAUCCAAACGGCACCGCCUCGAAGU
rnacentral:lncRNA from 1 species